ACAAAAUUCUAACUUUUCAAAUGUUUUAUAUAGAAGAACUAUACAAAUCCUUGGUAUUUCUAUUUUCUUUUCUACAUCAGUAAAAUGACCCCUUGUCUGAGGGAGGGUUGUUCUCAACCUGAUAAUAACAAACACAGGUCAAAGUACGGCCUUUUACACAGGGCUUUGAUACAGACCAAACAGCAAGCUAUAAAGGACCCC
rnacentral:lncRNA from 1 species